UACGGGGGGGGCAAGCGUUGUUCGGAAUUACUGGGCGUAAAGGGCGCGUAGGCGGGCCAUCAAGUCAGAGGUGAAAUCCCCCGGCUCAACCGGGGAACUGCCUUUGAUACUGGCGGUCUGGAGUAAGGUAGGGGCAUGCGGAACUGAUGGUGGAGCGGUGAAAUGUGUUGAUAUCAUCAGGAACUCCGGUGGCGAAAGCGGCGUGCUGGACCUUUACUGACGCUGAGGCGCGAAAGCCAGGGGAGCAAACGGG
rnacentral:rRNA from 1 species